UUUCUUUUCCUUCUCCACUACAUUUUAUGUGAGAGAUCAACUGUGGUUGUUAGCAAAGCCCUCUAAUUUAACAAUCAAACAUUUAAUCAGUAGUACAUAAAGCAGUUGCUAUGAUAUUUGGCUGCAAAUAGCUGCAACCAAGUCAACAGUUAGGUCUUUAGCGACGAAAGUCACUGAGCAUUAAUAAAUAAUUUUUUUUUUUUUUAAAGUUAUGAUUCGCUGCUAAAAGGUCUGUCUAAGUAAUCCAAAUCCUUGCGUCGGAAAUUGGUAAUCUACGAUGCAUCUUUUGUCGGUAAAACAAUACAAGGACAGGACUUUUGACUGGUGGGUCGGUCUGGAGUAUACUAUUAUAACUUCGGACACGAAAUGUUUUGUGGACAAUGUGACAUUACUAUCUUAUGUUGCCAUACAUCAUAGCAAACAAUAUUUAAACCAUAGUUUUAGUAGCUCAGUUUCGUCGACAUUCCCUUGAUUUUCAUUUUGUUCCACUUUCGAGAUGGUAAGAUUUUAUUAGCAUUAAUAUUCUAUGUCAACAUUUUACCAUCCCAUGGUGAGAGGAGUUGAGAAUAUACGUAUCUGGUGUUUUAAUUUUAGCUUAAUUCUUGCUUAAAUCGCUGCAUGUAUAGGCAAGUAAAUUUAUCCAUACGCCAAGUAAUCAUAUAUCUCAAGGUAAGACUACGAAGAUAUCAAGGAAUCAAAUCCUAGGAACUUUCGUUCACUAUAUUGAGAAGAUCUAGGUAUCAUCAGCAAUGUUUGAUUUUUGUACAGUUCUUUUCACUAUUUAUAGGCUUUUCCAGUGUUAUAUGAAACCUGCUCUUUCUCGUUCAUUUUCCUUUACAUAUUAAGCACAUACCAUAACCUUUACAAUAAUCAACCCUUUAAUAUAAUCAGCUAACACCAUGGGUGUAAGGCUAACCACAAUCAAGAACAAACUGAGUGUGGAGAUGGAGCUGAGUGUAUUUGCAGCCCCAGCAAGACCUGACCACUUUCGACAGAUAAUAAGAAUCAAGCCAGGAGGAAAGGCGAAUUUAUUAGUCAAGACACUAGGUGAAGAAAGUAGAAUUUCAGGAAGGCUUUUGAUAAUUAUGGUUUAUGUUGAUGGAGUAUACAGUGGUGUUACUUUGUUGCCUGCCUACUUGGCUAGCUACUCGGAAGUCAUUUGUGACAGAGGAGAAGAUGGACUUUUGAAUCUUCGAGGGAUCAAAGCCACAAUGUUCAACACUUGCAAACUCCUGUUUAUGCAUCAUCUCUUGCUUGCCACGAAUUGUUUUGGUGGUCCUGCUGAGGAGAUCAUAUAAGUCCAGGAAUUGCACGCAGUCCUUGGUGGUCAAUAGAAGCUCAAACAGCCGUUUACUCUUCAAAAAAGCUUUGGAGCUUUAAAUAAAACAAAUAAGUCGUCUAUUUUUUUUUUCUCCUGCUUCAGAAUAAGAGCUCCAUUUUCAUGUAAUCCGAAGAGAAUUAUAUACUCGAGCUAUUCUCAACACUUGUAGAUAAUAUGAUCUUAUUCAAUGAAGUUGGUGACAUCUGUUGUAUGUUACUAAGUGAUUAAAAUGUCAAAAAACCAAAAUCCCAGUUGGGUUCAUCAUCAAAUAAAUUGAAAUGGGAUUUGAAUUGGAUCUUAUUCGACUUUUAACUUUCUGUUUAGAAUAGAAUAUGCUUUAGAAUAAUCUGAAUUUAUUAGUCAAUUUGUGAUGGUAUUAUAAUUCGCUUCCAGAUGGCAACAUUUGUAAGAUAUCAUAUAUCAACAAAUUAAAGAGUUAAGAGCAGUAAGAAAAAAAGAAAGAGAGACGAAGAUGAAGACAACAAAGGUCCCAAGGCCGCCUAAAGAAUACUAAAGUAAAUACAUGAAAAAAGAAAAUAAAUAUAUGAAAGCGCCAGCUUCACCAAAAGAAUAAAUAAAUAAAUACAUGAAAGGGGCUCCUUUGCCUCCUUAGGCUGCUUGUAUUAACAAGAAAGCAAGCAAAUGGCGAAUAAUUCUUGAAGAGAAGGUGCCUUCAAGUGAGAAUCGGAGAGCUUGAACCUGUCAGAAUUCGGUGCAGUUUUAGCCCAACUCCUCUGCUCCUCAGCUGCUGAAAAUCCUCUGUCACAAAUGGCUUCCAGUUUUCCUUAUAUUUCUAUGUUUGAUUGCAAAGAAUAACUAUAUAACAGGUGAGUUUACCUUGAAGUUGUUCUGGGUCUGGUUAGAUGUAAGGAUGGAACUGGAGCCUUUGGACAGAAGAUUAAAGUGCAGAUAGGAAGAAUAGAGGUGUUUGUGCGUGAAACUAGACUGAGUUCCGUAGGAUCAAGUUCUCUUGUUUUCUCAUUCUCACUAAUAUUCUUUUCUUUAUUUUUCUGAAACUAUCUCGGUAGAAAUCUCAUUACAAUCACAUGAUCCAAGGGAGAAGAAGAAAAGCAAUAAAAUGGUGGUGCAGCUUCUUACCAGGAGUGCUGGAAUAUUGUGGAAGGCCUAAAAUUGAUAUGCUAUGAGUUCCAGUGAUGAUCUUCUUCCUAUUUUCCUUUUGUGGAAGACUCCUGCAAUGUAGAACCAAAGAAAUAAUUAGAUUAUCCAAAACCAUGGAUUGGACUAAUGCUUUGACUGUUUCCUCCCGUUAAGACCUGAACUUCGGGUCUUUCCUGGAUUAUGUCUUUAUGAGCUUUAUAUAAUCUGUAGUCUUUAUGCAGUGUGUACAUUUUAUUCGUAAA